AAAAUUAUCGCUAAUUUUGAAGCACUUGUGCAAUUACCCCCGAAUAUUUCCUUCGCAUGAUAAUCUAUCCGUUUGAAGUGUGCAAUUAUCUUAUCAUCAGAUCAUUGCUUACGAAAAUAAAUUAGUUGACAAGUUUCUUUUCCUGUUGAAUUAGACAUCAAAUGUCAUCCGGACAUUCCAAAGUUAUUCAAAUCAUAAUUGUUAUUUCAACUUAAAAAAUGUCUUGUUUUGGUGUCAAAUCACCUACUUCAAUAAAAGAAGUUGUUGCUGCGACAGUGCCCACAGAUACUAUCAGCAAUCAAAAAUAUAUCUGGUGGCAGUUUCUAGCAUUUUGUGAAGAAAGGUGUCACAACUUAAGUAAAGACACCACAGUGCACCAAAUUGCAAAAAUUCUACAAGACUGGGGGUUCAACAUGAAGAUACAGAAUGGCAUCGAAUUUUAAUUGGCUCGAGAAGCUAAAAACGCAAAACGGAAAGAGCUACAACGGGAGCCCCAGAAAAGAAAAGAAAGCUAGGUUUUCAUGAAAUAUGAGGAAUUAAAAAAAAUGGUAGAAAGCCGUGACGAAGAUGUUAGAAGUAAGUUCUAAAACUGUUAUGGUACCUUUUACUUAAGUUUUCUUAGGUUGGUAGUAUUGCUUUUAACUUCAAUAAAGGUGCAGUUCAUGCAAGUAUUCUGAGACGGCAA